GUAUGAGCGGCAGCAUUGAGCGCCGUGCGCGUCGCGGCGGCGGCCCCGUCGACCAAAAGUUAUCACGUUGCUCGUGCGCCAUUUGCAGCGACCGGCCGUGGUGGAUGUGGUGGAACAUACGAACGGAGUAAAUAUAAGUCAUCGCCGAGAAGUUCGGGAGUGAUGGCGGAAGGUAAUGGCGGUGGUGACCCAGGGUCACAAAUAGACGGCGAAAGAACAGAAGACUACCAGAAACUAAUAAAUUAUGGCCUGAAUGAAAAAGUUGCUGCAAAACUAGAUGAAAUCUACAAACAGGGCAAACUAAGGCAUGAACAUCCUAGAGCUGUGUAUUCCCUGCCCCCUCAAGCAGUAGUGCUGAAGCCCGUGUGGCCCAGCGAUGGUAGGGAGGCCUUGUGUGGCAGUCACUGGGUGGUGUUGCAGGACCUGGACGAGCGUGCACUGGAUGCCCUGAAGGAAUUCCCAGUUGAGGGGGCCGUCACAGUCCUUAAACAGUUCCUGGAGUCCAACCUGGAGCAUGUGUCUAACAAGUCCGCCUACCUCUGUGGGGUCAUGAAGACCUACCGGCAGAGAAAACAGUAUAACACAGACAGUAUGGCAGUCAAUCCGGGGAAAGGUCCAAAUGAAGACAACCUGAAAGCAAUUCUUGAGCGCACUGGCUACACUCUAGAUGUGACCACAGGUCAGCGAAAAUAUGGAGGUCCACCGCCAAACUGGGAAGGGCCCCCACCUGGCCCAGGAUGUGAGGUAUUCUGUGGCAAGAUUCCAAAGGAGUUGUAUGAGGAUGAGUUGAUCCCAUUAUUUGAAAAAUGUGGUGAGAUCUGGGACCUGCGUCUCAUGAUGGAUCCCAUGACAGGCCAAAAUAGAGGAUAUGCCUUCAUCACUUUCACAACUCGCACAGCGGCUUGUGAAGCUGUCCGGCAGCUGAAUGAAUAUGAAAUUCAGCGCGGCAAAAAAUUAGGGGUCACUAUUUCAUACAACAAUCAUCGAUUGUUCGUAGGAAAUAUCCCCAAGAACAGGGAGCGACUUGAGUUAUAUGAGGAGUUUGCAAAGCACGCACCUGGUCUGGUUGAAGUGAUAAUUUAUAGUUCUCCUGAUGACAAAAAGAAGAACAGAGGAUUCUGUUUCCUGGAAUAUGAGUCCCAUAAGGCUGCCUCCUUGGCUAAGCGGCGGUUAAGUUCAGGACGCUUCAAGGUGUGGGGGUGUGAAAUCAUUGUGGACUGGGCUGACCCUCAGGAGGAGCCAGACGAAGACACCAUGUCCAAGGUCAAAGUUUUGUAUGUCAGAAAUCUUACUCAGGUAACAACAGAAGAGAUGCUGAAGGAAAAGUUUGAUGAGUUUGGGAAGGUGGAGCGUGUCAAGAAGAUAAAAGAUUAUGCAUUCGUCCACUUUGAGGAGAGAGACGAGGCAGUCAAGGCAAUGGGUGCCUUACAAGGGAAAGACUUAGGUGGUGCCUCAAUGGAAAUUUCCUUGGCAAAGCCACCGUCAGACAAGAAAAAGAAGGAAGAGGUUCUUCGCAACAGAGAGAAACGGCUUAUGCAGAUGCUUGCACAGAGAGGAAUGCCUGUGCCCCCGGCCAUGCUGCGUGGAGGGAGGGGAGGGGGCCGCGGGGGCGGUCGCAGUGAUUAUGAUUAUGAUUACGACUAUUAUGGUUAUGGCGAUUAUCAAGGUGGCUACAGUGACCCGUAUUACGACGACUAUUACCGUUACGAAGAUUACUAUUACGAUUACUCCCCGUAUCCCAUGGGGCGUGGUCGCACCAAAUCAGUGCCGGCUGGCCGUGGGUAUGGUGGUAUGGCGAACCGUGGCCGCGGCGCUGUCCCCUCCCCCCGUGGGGGGCGGGGUAUGGUGCCCCGAGGGGGGGCCAUGGGGGGGCGUAUGACUCGACCACCGCGCGCGGGGCAGGGGUUCAGAGGGUCCGCCAGGGGGGCAAAUCUAGCAGGUAAAAGAAAGUUGGAUGGCGGGCACCAGAACGAGGGGGACUCAAAGAGACGGUUCCAGAACACCGGUGCUAGCUGGGGGAACCAGCCUAUCCCACAGCAGCCGCUGAGCUCAUACAGUGGGGCCAACGGCAGCAAGUACGGCGGGGCAGGCGGGGACCAGCAAUGGUACCAAGACAGCUAUCCACAAUCGUGGAGCUGAGGUGUAAGCGGGUGGGCCGCCAGCACCAGGUGUAGAGGGUGGGGCGGGGCACGGUGGGGCACAACUCCAAGUUAUGUACGUUGGUUUGUCCGGGCGAGCCCGUCCGCGGGCACAGAGGGACAUUCCUGCCACUCGUAUGACUGGGAGUGGUGUCGGUGCUGCUAGCGCCUGAUACGAGGCCCACGGAUGGUGGCCGCCCCACCAGUGCUGCGUCAGUGGGGCCUGGAGAGGGUCGGCUUCCGAUUCCCGGACGCCCUUCCGUCUGGCCGGGGUGAGGGGCCGCAGUCCACCCCGCCAGUGAGACAUGUACCUGAAAAACAUCUCCACCAUACCCAAACCCACCAGUAUUCCAAAGUUUCCAUGGUUCCCCUUCAUGGUGGGACUUAUUGAGGUUCCUGACGAUGAAUUGUUGUAUUUGUAGUUCAUAAGCAUUUCUUGUGAUAAGUGAAACAGAGUUAGGUAUAGAUUAUUCUCUCUCUCUCUCUCUCUCUCUCUCUCUCUCUCUCUCUCUCUCUCUCUCUCUCUCUCUCUCUCUCUCUCUCUCUCUCUCUCUCUCUCCUAAAGUGACAUUGGACUCCUUUAUCAUUAUUAAUUUUUUAAGUUUUACUAAAAUUUAAUGGUUGGCUUUGCUCUUUUGAGAGCUCGUGUUCUUUUAAAAAUGUUAUAAGCAGACUUGAGUUUAUUAGUGUAAGUUGUGCAGCAAAAGAUAUGUAUAACUAAACAGUAAUUGCUGUAGUUUUUUUUUUUUUUUUUUUUCCCUAUUUUUUAAUAAUUGGUUGACUUGGUAUUUGAAUGGAAUUUUUAUGGUCAUUAAUUUAAGGAGGAAAAUGCUUGAGUAAUGAAUUUUAAUUUCUUUUGACGACCUUGGACCAGACUUGACCCAAUAUGUUCGGGAGGCGUCUCUGGGCCUCUCGCUCUUGUAUGCCUGUUAGGAGAUCAAGUUGAAGGGAAACUUUCUCGUGUAUCUAGAGAUUCACUUACAACCAGAUGGUGUAAGUGUGGCAGAGGGUGGUGGCGCCAGCUGCACGCCUCCCUCCACCGGCGUCAGCACCACCUGGGCCACAAGGGAUAAACCAAAAUGUUUGUUGUAUACUAAAAAGUUUUAAAAGUCUAUGUUAAAAGUGUAUUUCAGCUUUGAAGGAAAAACGUUAACCUAAUUCUUGUAGGUAAGGAUUUGCUGGAACUAAAUAUGAUCAUUAUUAUAUUUUCUAAAAAAAAAAAAUGUAUAGUCAAAGAUACAGUUAUAUAUUCAAAAAGUGUAUAGUAAAUAUCCAAUACAUAGUGAUUUAUUCUAAAGAAUCUAGUAAAUUUUUUUCUCAAAUAUAUUGUUGUAGCAUUCUGGGACAGGAAGGAUUCUGAUAGUGCAUGAUGCAGUGUUUCAUUAAAAAGGUCUCGUGUCAUUAGUAAUUUCCAUUGAACCAAUAUUUUUUGAGAAAUCAGUACAGUGCAUUUGUUCAGGUGACUGUGUGUGGUGGCGCGUGGGCUUCCCACCACCACCACCACACAUUGCUCCCCGGCGCCUCAAUUACUACAAAACUUCCCUCCCCCGCCAGUUGUGAAAGCAUGGCCGUCUCAGGCAUAGGUUCUGAUUACGGAAUUUGACACAUAGGUUCUCAACUUCCUUUCAUUAUACCAUUUUUUCAACUUAAAUGUUUCGGUUGCAACUCACGGUACCGUCAAAUACAACGUCCAUAAAGAUUUGUUAACGUAUGUGAGGUGAUGUGGUGAUGUAUUUUCCGUGUAAGGAGGUGGUCGCCUUAGCCAAGAGCAGCGUGCAGGAAGGCAGUUGAGUUGUACCAGAUAGCCGGGUCUGUACCAGUGUUGGAAUGCAAGUAAAAGAGAUUUCCAUUA